GAUGAAGAACGUAGCGAAAUGCGAUAAGUAAUGUGAAUUGCAGAAUUCAGUGAAUCAUCGAAUCUUUGAACGCACAUUGCGCCCCCUGGUAUUCCGGGGGGCAUGCCUGUUCGAGCGUCAUUUCACCACUCAAGCCUCGCUUGGUAUUGGGCAACGCGGUCCGCCGCGUGCCUCAAAUCGACCGGCUGGGUCUUCUGUCCCCUAAGCGUUGUGGAAACUAUUCGCUAAAGGGUGUUCGGGAGGCUACGCCGUAAAACAACCCCAUUUCUAAGGUUGACCUCGGAUCAGGUAGGGAUACCCGCUGAACUUAAGCAUAUCAAAACGGAGGA
rnacentral:misc_RNA from 1 species